rnacentral:rRNA from 1 species
AACGAACGCUGGCGGCAUGCCUAACACAUGCAAGUCGAACGAACCCUUCGGGCUUAGUGGCGCACGGGUGCGUAACGCGUGGGAAUCUGCCCUUUGCUUCGGAAUAACUCAUGGAAACUUCUGCUAAUACCGGAUGAUGUCGUCAGUCCAAAGAUUUAUCGACAAGGGAUGAGCCCGCGUAGGAUUAGGUAGUUGGUGGGGUAAAGGCCUACCAAGCCGACGAUCCUUAGCUGGUCUGAGAGGAUGAUCAGCCACACUGGGACUGAGACACGGCCCAGACUACUACGGGAGGCAGCAGUGGGGAAUAUUGGACAAUGGGCGCAAGCCUGAUCCAGCAAUGCCGCGUGAGUGAUGAAGGCCCUAGGGUAGUAAAGCUCUUUUACCAGGGAAGAUAAUGACAGUACCGGGAGAAUAAGCUCCGGCUAACUCCGUG